GUUGAAACACCGGUUUGCGUACGACCACCGAAGAUAAACAAGGUUGAGCCUGUUUAGUACCUAAAUGUAUGACCCCUUUGGAAUACCUGUCGCUGUAA